CAUGGUGACUUUCUUACCGCCUUCACCACUCUGGAUCUUUUGGGUCUCCAAUUUUGUUGUUUGAGUAACCUCUACUACACGCAGGCAAGGUUUACCCAUCCAUGCCAAUGAAAUUAAUAGGACCAAGCUGGUUGCUUGUUUCCAACGAAUACCAAGGAGUCAUACAUAUAUAUAUAUUGCCACCGCAUUAAGAUUUUUGUGGAAACAAGAUGCACCAGAACUCGUAAUCAGAUCUAUCAUACAUACGUAUAUCUGCUAGGGUUCAUCACGCAUGGUAUCAGAGGAAUUUGGAAUGCAGAACAUCUUUUUCAAGAGAACUGGAUUUCUGAAUAUUGAUGUGUACUUGUACGUUCCCAUUUUGGAAGGUAGAAAGAUUGUUUCCAGAGAACAGUGGAUUCCAUUGUAGAAAAGGAAAAACGAGUCUUAAAUUCUCUGUACAAGGUGCAUUUUACAAACUUGUUAACAA